CAGAGAGCAAUCGAGAUCCUUGAUUUCACGUUUGCCAAUCGAUGCAGAUGGUAAUCACUUCUUGAAUCGAUCCGCGUCGGGAACGCCGUAACUCGGCAAAUCAAUACCGACUUCAAAGGUUGAAGGUUCACAUUGCAGAAGGAAGAAAGCCCGGGUUAGAUAAUGAAGACGAAUCUCUUGGUGCAGAGCCAAAAGGAAGCUCUUGGUGCAGAAUCCUGAAGAUGAAGCUUCUAAAGAACAAACUUUUGGUAUAGCGUGAAGAAGAAUGUAGAGUCUGGGAGUGAAAAAUGAAGUCCUCCAGGUUGAAGGAGAUGAUGGAUCAAAAUGCAGAAAAACGAAAAAACUCUCUCCAACUUGUAAGUGCAGAAUCCUUUUAUAGAGGUUUAGAAUGGUAUUGAAAUUCGGAUUUAAUUGCAAUCCAAAUUCACUUCAAAUUACCUUGGAAUUAGGAGUUAUUUGGAAAUGUGUUAGCUGUCAAAGCUUUUUUGUUAUUAGUCUGUUAGUUUGUUAGAGUUAGUUAUAGGUUAGUUAUCCAUCUGUUAAAAUGUUAGUUAAUUAGUUAGUUAAGUCAGAAAAUUGGUUUUCAUUCUGUUAGAUUAAUUUGAAAUUGCUCUGGUUAAAAAACCUUUUAUUAAUUGAGUUUCUAAUGUGUUG